rnacentral:rRNA from 1 species
CCUACGGGCGGCAGCAGUGAGGAAUAUUGGUCAAUGGACGAGAGUCUGAACCAGCCAAGUAGCGUGAAGGAUUACUGCCCUAUGGGUUGUAAACUUCUUUUAUAUGGGAAUAAAAUGUUCCACGUGUGGGAUUUUGUAUGUACCAUGUGAAUAAGGCUCGGCUAAAUCCGUGCCAGCAGCCGCGGUAAUACGGAGGAUUCGAGUGUUAUCCGGAUUUAUUGGGUUAAAGGGAGCGCAGGGGGGUUGUUAAGUCAGUUGUGAAAGGUUGCGGGUCAACCGUCAAAUUGCAGUUGAAACUGGCAGUCUUGAGUACAGUAGAGGUGGGCGGAAUUCGUGGUGUAGCGGUGAAAUGCUUAGAUAUCACGAAGAACUCCGAUUGCGAAGGCAGCUCACUGGACUGCAACUGACACUGAGGCUCGAAAGUGUGGGUAUCAAACAGGAUUAGAUACCCCAGUAGUC